rnacentral:rRNA from 1 species
UACGUAGGGUGCAAGCGUUGUCCGGAAUUAUUGGGCGUAAAGAGCUCGUAGGCGGUUUGUUGCGUCGGCUGUGAAAUCCCGAGGCUCAACCUCGGGUCUGCAGUCGAUACGAGCAGACUAGAGUGUUGCAGGGGAGACUGGAAUUCCUGGUGUAGCGGUGAAAUGCGCAGAUAUCAGGAGGAACACCGGUGGCGAAGGCGGGUCUCUGGGCCGAUACUGACGCUGAGGAGCGAAAGCGUGGGGAGCAAACAGG